GAGGGUGCAAGCGUUGUCCGGAAUCAUUGGGCGUAAAGAGUUCGUAGGCGGUGUGUUAAGUCUGGUGUUAAAGAUUGUGGCUCAACCAUGAUACGGCACUGGAUACUGGCAGACUAGAAUGCGGUAGAGGUAAAGGGAAUUCCUGGUGUAGCGGUGAAAUGCGUAGAUAUCAGGAGGAACAUCAGAGGCGAAAGCGCUUUACUGGGCCGAAAUUGACGCUGAGGAACGAAAGCCGGGGUAGCAAA
rnacentral:rRNA from 1 species